GACGAACGCUGGCGGCGUGCUUAACACAUGCAAGUCGAACGGACAGGCCCUGCUCUUGUGGGGUGCUCGAGUGGCGAACGGGUGAGUAACACGUGAGUAACCUGCCCUUGACUUUGGGAUAACUUCAGGAAACUGGGGCUAAUACCGGAUAGGAGCUCCUGCUGCAUGGUGGGGGUUGGAAAGUGUCGGCGGUGGGGGAUGGACUCGCGGCUUAUCAGCUGGUUGGGGGGGUAGUGGCUUACCAAGGCUUUGACGGGUAGCCGGCCUGAGAGGGUGACCGGCGACAUUGGGACUGAGAUACGGCCCAGACUCCUACGUGAGGCAGCAGUGGGGAAUAUUGCACAAUGGGCGGAAGCCUGAUGCAGCAACGCCGCGUGCGGGAUGACGGCCUUCGGGUUGUAAACCGCUUUCGCCUGUGACGAAGCGUGAGUGACGGUAAUGGGUAAAGAAGCCCCGGCUAACUACGUG
rnacentral:rRNA from 1 species